UCCUGCAUCGGCAGCAUAUAUAGUAUAUAUAUUGGAAUGUUACAGGGAAGAUUAGCAUGGCCCCUGAGCAUGGAUGACAUGGAAAUUCAUGAAUCAUUCCAUAUUUUU
rfam:Erinaceus europaeus unplaced genomic scaffold scaffold00248, whole genome shotgun sequence